CUUUUUCUCUUCAUUUAUAGCACUUUUCUGUUUUGCUGGUUUUUCCAUCUCUUUGUAAUGCUUUUUUUCCUAUUAUGUUGAUCUUUCUGGUUGCUAUGUUUAUCUAUGCCCAGUAUAUACUCAAGGUCUGUGGCAAGAGACACCUUAUACUCUUGGAGUGGGAGACACCUAAUUUCAACCAUGUCUGGGUUGCAGAGAUAAUCUGUCCCCCAAACCCACCAAUCAUCUUCCUAUUUCCAUGGAGUUUAGUUAGAUCACAAUAAAUAAUUGAAGUUUCUGUGCCUGCAUUUACUAAUGCCAUCACUAUCUGCAUGUUUUUCUGGGACCAAAAAAUAAAUAAUUGAAUACAGGGUCUCUGGUUCUAUCUAGGGGCCAUAGGUGUAGAAGGGUUGGUAUCCCCCAUCACGCAAGUAACUACACAAUUGCUAAUUCUUUCUCCUCACUUCAUUUGGAUACAGUGACCUGAGUCGCUAGAAGAGGCUUUUUCCUUUAGUUAAGAACUAAGAAAUCCUCCAAAUGUUAUGUUCUCACUGGAACUUGUUCAAUUAUUCUUACUCCUGCAUUUUUGGGGGGGGGGUUUGAAACUUUUGAUUUUCCUUUAGCUACUUCUGUAGCUAGAGGAGAACAUGACUAGGCUGGCAAUCAGUUUAUGCAAAUCAAACCCCAGCUCUGAUUAAAUCAUUAGACAUUUGUUUCCAGGAUGCUCAUAUGGGUCCUGAUUGAGAUGUCUGUGGGGCUGCAGCAGAAAUAGUAAGUCAAGGCCUGAAAUAGUGAUUGAGCACCUGGCGGGAAGGCAGGUCCAGCCUAAGUGUGCUUAAGUGCAUGUAAUGCACUUAAGCAACUGGAACAGGUGGAGCCAAGAUUCACUCCCUUCCCAGACCUCAUUUAAGGGUUGGCGUUGGAGGUGAUGGUGUCUUGCUGGAGAUUUCUCCCUGCCUUAGGCCUCUUGAAAGCAAUUCACCUGUGCAACCAGAACCAGGUUCCACCCCCCUCCCUAAGCCUCAUUUAAUGGCUGUCUGCUGUAAGGGAAGGCUUUCUACCUGGUGAUCCCUUCUUCUGGUGUAUUUGGCAAGUCCUGAUCCUUGGGAUGGGCUGGAUUCUGGAUGAUGCAAGGCUGUUGUGUCAGGAUGCUGCAGAAGUUGCAUCUUCUCAUCAUGGAGCUGGUGAAGUUAGUUUCCCUCUGUGCACAGAAUACAGCAUUUAUGGACAGGAAACUUUCUUUGCGUAGUGAUUUUUCUUGUUGUCUUUGGAGAGGUCAGCACUCUUAGUUCCAGGAAACUUAAAUGUAAGCAGGAGUUCAAGGAAGGAGGCAGGAAAAUCCCAUACAAGAUUCAAAUGUGUCCAAUUUUUGGUAUUUGGAAUUCUACGAUUCAAUUUCAGUGGCUAAAUAAUUCUGAGCUAUUCAUCAAAAGCUGCAGACAAGCACAGAAUCUUGUGGGAAUCUGGAAGUGGAUACAGGCAACUCCAAAUCGCUAUAUUAUUGACACCUAAUUUAGCGGAGGAUGCAGUCCUGGUAAAUGCACAAGGUCAGCCCUUAGAAGAGCAAAUAGUGUUCUCUAGAGACCUGUACAGCUAGCCAAUGUAUGUCCAAUUGUCUGCCUGUAUUUUACUCCUUGAUUGCUGUGCUGUUAUAAACUCAGAUAAAUGGUAGAAGUUUAAUAUAACUCUACAAGUAAUAAUCAUCCUGACUGUACCUAAUAAAAUAUGUAAGGACUAGAGUCCAAACCAGAAUUAUUUCUCAUUUCCAUAUGAAGUGUCUUGCUUUAGUGUAUGUGCAGUUAAUUCUUCUUGUGAACACGUGAUUGAUUUCAUUCACUACUCUGAAGGAGGUAGUGGCGUAGUUUCAGUGGCUGUAGAGAGUUUUGCUGAAAUAGCAAAUUUCAUAGGCUUUCAUGUCAUUUAGAAGGCACAACUGCCAGAUAGUUUGAAAAUGUAAUAUAACUGUAUGCAGAGUUCCUGGGAAAUGCUCGGAAGUCUUCUCUCAUUGCACUAUUGUGAUAAAACCUCUUGCUCUUCAAGUUCCUUGAGCCCAUGCAGUACUACAUUGAAUCUGAUAGGAAACUCAGUACUGGAAAGUGAAGGACAGAGGGAUGCUCUGGCCUGGAAUCUGUUCCCAUUGACAAUGGUAGAGGUCAGUCCUGCAGCCAAAAGUCCAUAAGCAAAAGCAGUUCUACCUUUGGUAUGUUGUCAGUUUUCCAUGUAGGUGAGUGGGAGAGUGGGAAAUAGAUAAGUGAUUCUGGAAAAGGAGAAACUGAGAGGAAGAGGGGAGUAAAGGGUGUUCUAAGCAUUACAACUGGGAUUUUCAGAGGGUAUUCUGAGGGAUGCUUGUCAUUCAGCUCCCCUGGACUUUUUGUCAAUGACAACCUCUAAAUUUUCAUGCGUGGCUUUUAGCUCAUGUGGCAGAUCUUACAGUUAGUGUUUGGGGGAGAAGAGGCAGAAAGCAUCUCACAUACAAUGGAGUUGCCAGGUCACAGUUUGAACCAGUAAAUGAGCACCUGAGUGAAGGGAGCUGGGGGAGCCCUGAUCCACCUUCCUCUCUCUCCCUCUUGGUAGUACUUCCGACUGUGCUUCCUGGAGCACAUAGGCACUCAGAGCCUGUGUGGUUUGUCCCCCCUCCUUUUCCAGUUCCAAAGCUGGAGAAGGCUGCAUUCCUCAGCUCACCUUCUUUUCCUCACUGUUGCUGGGAGGUGUGAGUUAAUUCCUCUUUCUUUGAUAUCUUGUUCUCUAGCGCCUGUAUCUCAAAGGCUCUGUCAUCUCCUUUGUUUGCUUUACAUCACUCUAAUGUGAAAGCUCUUAAUACUUGUCAUGGCUGCUGGCUGAGAGUCUGAUCUGAUGAGCUGUGACUUCCUGACAACCUGUGACUCAAACAGAAAAUGGGUACUUACUGGACUGGGGUUGAAGCAACUGGGAGGUAGCAGAUUGAGAUACUUUUGCAUCAGAUCUGUGCUGUAGGUCCUGAGUGUGGAUGUGAGCCCAUAGUUUCUAGGAGGCAAUUCACUCUGCAUUCAUAUUGUUUGGGUGUGUCCUGGUUUUAUCAGUAUUCUGCAUGACAUUAUGAUACAACAGGCUGUUCGGUGCAGAGACUCAGUGCACUGCAGCGCUAUGUUUGCUGUUUAGCAGUCCCAUGUGAGUUUUGACUCUCCAAGGGGAAGAUACACUGAAAUGUGGAGGCUCCUGGAAAAUGCAGCACAUGAUUUUCAAUUCAUUGGUUCAUUUUGAUUAAUUACUCUUAUUUUUUCUGUAUUAUCUCACAUUCCUUUUAAUAAACUAGCUUCUCCUAUCUCAGUUGUUUUUUUUCCUCUUCCUUCCCCCCUCCUUUCUCCCAGGGUGAGAGAGGGGAUGUCACAUGAUUAAUUCUUCAAACUGUGACAGGGUGUUGUUUUCUCUACUAGGCAAACUGAUUGAUAUUCUGUAAUAGAGAACUGGAUCAAUGAAUGUCUGAUAAAUGUGAAAAAUUUCUAUGGGAAAAGCCAACAUCAUUUCUAUUAAUGGAGGUUUUGCCUUAGAAAACUCAUUUAUUUGAAGAGGUGAAUAAACAGUGAUAAUGGUGAUUCUGUUUGGCUAGAUUAGAUUUUGAAAGGCUUUAGAGGAAACCAUACAGCUAUGGGAUAAGAGAGAAGACUGCAGCAUGGUUAAAAGUGGGAAAUAUAGAGCAGAGUCUCUUUCCAACUCAUAGAAUAGAAAGAAAUCACUAUUGGAUGAGAUCAAUGCUGAGACUUAUUCUGUUCCACAGUUUAUUAAAUGAACUUGCAAAAGGUCAA